CUGAGAGGAUGACCAGCCACACUGGAACUGAGACACGGUCCAGACUCCUACGGGAGGCAGCAGUGGGGAAUAUUGCACAAUGGGCGCAAGCCUGAUGCAGCCAUGCCGCGUGUAUGAAGAAGGCCUUCGGGUUGUAAAGUACUUUCAGCGGGGAGGAAGGGAGUAAAGUUAAUACCUUUGCUCAUUGACGUUACCCGCAGAAGAAGCACCGGCUAACUCCGUGCCAGCAGCCGCGGUAAUACGGAGGGUGCAAGCGUUAAUCGGAAUUACUGGGCGUAAAGCGCACGCAGGCGGUUUGUUAAGUCAGAUGUGAAAUCCCCGGGCUCAACCUGGGAACUGCAUCUGAUACUGGCAAGCUUGAGUCUCGUAGAGGGGGGUAGAAUUCCAGGUGUAGCGGUGAAAUGCGUAGAGAUCUGGAGGAAUAUCGGUGGCGAAGGCGGCCCCCUGGACGAAGACUGACGCUCAGGUGCGAAAGCGUGGGGAGCAAACAGGAUU
rnacentral:rRNA from 1 species